AUUGAACGCUGGCGGCAGGCCUAACACAUGCAAGUCGAACGCGUGGCGGACGUGUGAGUAAUGUCUGGGAAACUGCCUGAUGGAGGGGGAUAACUACUGGAAACGGUAGCUAAUACCGCAUACCAUCAGAUGUGCCCAGAUGGGAUUAGCUAGUUGGUGGGGUAACGGCUCACCAGGGCGACGAUCCCUAGCUGGUCUGAGAGGAUGGACAUGCACAAGGGAACUGAGACACGGUCCAGAGUCCGACGGGAGGCAGCAGUGGGGAAUAUUGCACAAUGGGCGCAAGCCUGAUGCAGCCAUGCCGCGUGUAUGAAGAAGGCAUUCGGGUUGUAAAGUACUUUCAGCGGGGAGGCGUUACCCGCAGAAGAAGCACCGGCUAACUCCGUGCCAGCAGCCGCGGUAAUAC
rnacentral:rRNA from 1 species